UUUCCGUAGGUGAACCUGCGGGAGGAUCAUUAAUGAGUUGUCAUGGGGUUCGAUGCUGGCAGCCAAUUUUUGGAUGCAUGUGCUUGCCCUAACAAUCAUCUUCCAAACACCUGUGCACAUUUUUGAGGGAGUCUUGAGUUGGUUGCCGCUCUUGGGUGAUUUUCUCACAUUCCCUUAAAUCAUUAUACGCUAUUAACAAUGUUGAACGUGCUCUGUGCCGCAAGGCUACUAAUAUAAUACAACUUUUAACAACGGAUCUCUUGGCUCUC
rnacentral:misc_RNA from 1 species